UACGUAGGGUCCGAGCGUUGUCCGGAAUUACUGGGCGUAAAGAGCUCGUAGGUGGGUUUGUCGCGUUGUUCCGUGAAAACUCACAGCUCAACUGUGGGCGUGCGGGCGAUACGGGCAGACUGGAGUACUGCAGGGGAGACUGGAAUUCCUGGUGUAGCGGUGGAAUGCGCAGAUAUCAGGAGGAACACCGGUGGCGAAGGCGGGUCUCGUGGGCAGUAACUGACGCUGAGGAGCGAAAGCGUGGGGAGCGAACAGG
rnacentral:rRNA from 1 species